AUACGUAGGGGGCGAGCGUUGUCCGGAAUUAUUGGGUUUAAAGGGUGCGCAGGCGGGAGAUUAAGUCGGCGGUGAAAUUUUGCAGCUCAACUGUAAAAGUGCCUUCGAAACUGGUUUCCUUGAGUGUAGAUGAAGUAGGCGGAAUUUGUGGUGUAGCGGUGAAAUGCAUAGAUAUCACGAGGAACUCCGAUUGCGCAGGCAGCUUACUAAACUACUACUGACGCUCAGGCACGAAGGCGUGGGGAUCAAACAGGAUUAGAUACCCUGGUAGUCCACGCAGUAAACGAUGAUUACUAGCUGUUUGCGAUACAAUGUAAGCGGCUGAGCGAAAGCGUUAAGUAAUCCACCUGGGGAGUACGUUCGCAAGAAUGAAACUCAAAUGAAUUGACGGGG
rnacentral:rRNA from 1 species